rnacentral:rRNA from 1 species
UGGGGAAUAUUGCACAAUGGGGGAAACCCUGAUGCAGCGACGCCGCGUGAGCGAAGAAGGCUUUCGAGUCGUAAAGCUCUGUCCUAUGAGAAGAUAAUGACGGUAUCAUAGGAGGAAGCCCUGGCUAAAUACGUGCCAGCAGCCGCGGUAAUACGUAUGGGGCGAGCGUUGUCCGGAAUCAUUGGGCGUAAAGGGUACGUAGGCGGAUAAGCAAGUUAGAAGUGAAAUCCUAUAGCUCAACUAUAGUAAGCUUUUAAAACUGCUCAUCUUGAGGUAUGGAAGGGAAAGUGGAAUUCCUAGUGUAGCGGUGAAAUGCGCAGAUAUUAGGAGGAAUACCGGUGGCGAAGGCGACUUUCUGGCCAUAUACUGACGCUGAGGUACGAAAGCGUGGGUAGCAAACAGG